rnacentral:ribozyme from 13 species
UUUUUUAUUUUUAAUUUUUUUAUUUCUCGUUUUCUUAUUUUUUGUGAUGGACUCAAGAAAAGACAGGGAGAGGAUGAGCUUCUGUUGUGAAGACCCUCGAGUUAAGGUCAAAUGUUUGUGGAGGAGAAAAUAAGAGAUACA